UACGUAGGGUGCGAGCGUUAAUCGGAAUUACUGGGCGUAAAGCGUGCGUAGGCGGUUCGUUAAGUUCGUUGUGAAAGCCCCGGGCUCAACCUGGGAAUGGCAAUGGAAACUGGCGGGCUGGAGUAUGGCAGAGGGGGGUGGAAUUCCGCGUGUAGCAGUGAAAUGCGUAGAGAUGCGGAGGAACACCGAUGGCGAAGGCAGCCCCUGGGCCAAUACUGACGCUCAGGCACGAAAGCGUGGGGAGCAAACAGG
rnacentral:rRNA from 1 species